rnacentral:lncRNA from 1 species
UAGAGUUGUGGUAGUUUGUUCCAGCAGCCACAGGAAACCAACUCAAGCAGCGACUAGAUCAGAUUGGUGGAACAUCAAGUGGUUUCUACCACGUUCCCCUUGACCUUCCCUUCUACAGCCUGGCCUGAUUCGGGGGUCACGAGGCAGGAGAACCAUGGGCAAGAGGGAGCUCGGAGUGCAAAGAAAGGAGGAGAAUGAAAUGGAUUUGGUCCACAGCAAAUUCCAGGCCCAUUUCUUCAACCAUUAUGAUGCCGGGGCUCUCCUUCUGGCGGUGCUUUGAAUGACAAAGGUGGGAGGUAAAGAUGUUGAAAUUCCUGGGGCUGCCCUGUGGCCAAGUGGUUAAGUUCGCGCGCUGCUUUGGCGCCCAGGGUUUGCCAGUUUGGAUCCUGGGCGCAGACAUGGCACCGCUCAUCAGGCCCUGCUGAGGCAGCGUCCCACAUGCCACAACUAGAAGGACCCACAACUAAAAAUAUACAACUAUGUACCAGGGGGCUUUGGGGAGA